UUCUUGUAAAGUAGCCUUUGACAAGUAUUCCAUUUUUGAAAAUAACAAAAACUAGUGGCACUGUCAAAAAAUGACAUCUAUGUACAUCAAAUUUUGCAAAUGUUUAGGUAUUAAUACCAAAUUCUGCUUUUGUUUUCUGUCUGUAGACCAAAUCUAACAGUUUUGAAAUGUAAAAGGGGGAAAUGAACACUAUUGCAGGUUAACCAGAACUGAAAAUCAUACCAGAAAAAUUUGGAUUUCUCACAUUUUUAAUAAUAAUGAAUGAAAAAGUUGCUCAACUAUUUAUAUGUCAUUGCUGCAACAAGUGUACGUGUUUGUGUCAAUAUUUAAUUUAUUAUGAAGGUUAUCAUUAGAUGGAUAAAGAACACUUAAGAUUUUGAAGUGAUUUUCUGCUCCUGUGGGUUCUGCUCCUGCAGGAGUCUAUGAGGAGGUUCUGCUCCUGAAUUGAAAAAUAAACAAAAAAGUACCGGCACAGGUCCCAGCAGAUCUUAGGAUUCUCUUCAGUCAGUCCAAACCAAUCCAUGAUGUGGUCAGGACAGAAUGGAUUAUAACAGUGUAGAAGAUGGUCAGCAGCUGCUGAGACAGCGGUGAUGUUUUGAUGGAGGAGCUCUGGGAUGAUGGUAUAAUGCAGAGCUGAAGUCCACAAACAGGAUGUCUGCAUAGGUCCCUGCAGAAUCAAGGUGGUGUAGGAUGUAGUGGAGACCUAUGUUGACUGUAUCGUCCACGUCAUUUAGCCAUGUGAGAGGGGACUUCUUAGGAACUGGGAUGAUGGUGGAGCUGUUGAAGAGGCGGUGAAAGUUUGAGCCAGCUGGUCAGCACAAACUUUCAGACAGGAUGGAGACACUCCAUCAGGUCCUGGAACCCUCCUGAUCUUCUGCUUCUGAAACUGUAGACGUACAUUCACAGAUCCUCAGUCCAGGUUAGCGGUUCAGUCUGAAGGAAGUUGAGAUAACAAGUCAUUCCUUUAGAUUGG